GGAUUUCCAGUAUUCUACAUGAUCUGCAUUGCUCAUUACUGCCUAUGCUGCUGAAAGAGAGGCAAGUGGCUUUAUAUUCCAAGUUCUUCUGAAGUGUGAAGGAGUGCUGGAAUAGAGAGGAGGAAGCUGGACAAAAAAUAACCAAUACCUCUGCAGGAGAAAAAUCUGCUGGCAGUACUUUGAAAUAGAUCUACAAAAAUCUAAAGUCUGGAUUUUGAGACUUGGCAUGAAUAUAAUGUGAGAUAUACUUAACCUGGCAAAAGGGAAAAAAACACUUGGUUUAAUAGGACUCUUUCCAAUUUCUAUUGGACAUGGGUUGGACU
rnacentral:lncRNA from 1 species